AUUACAGGCAUGAGCCACUGCACCUGGCCUGUUUACCAAUUUAAAUGGAAAAGAUUUUACUAUUAACAAUCCUGACAGCUAAGCUGAAACUCGGAACUCCACUGGGGACCCCCAAUGAAGAGAUCAGCCAACAUGCAGACCUCAGGUAAGUGGGAAGUGAAGAUGAACUUUAACCGUCAUCUUUUGUUGUAAGUUUCUUCCUGGGGGUCUUGGAGAAAGUCACUCACCCUAGCCAGUUGGCAUUCUUCUACUGGUUGGUAAGGUAACUAUGCCUGUAAUGCUAGCACUUUGGGAGGCCAAGGUGAGAGGAUUGCUUGAGGCCAGGAGCUUGAGAUGAGCUGAGAAACAUAGUGACAUUCCAUCUCACUAUGUGGUUUUUUUUUUUUUUUGAAAAAUUAAAAAAUUAGGCACUGGGGUGCACACCUGUGGUCUCAGCUGCUCAAGAGGCUGAGGCAGGAGGCUGCAGUGAGCUAUGAU
rnacentral:lncRNA from 13 species